rnacentral:lncRNA from 1 species
AAAAUUAUAAUGUUCCAAAAGAACCACCAAUCAGACUCGACCAUGCUUAAGAAGUGGUGAAGUCGCAAGUCGCAACGUGCGAUUCAGCAAUCACAAUACACCAAACUUCUUCUUCCAUGGCGUCUCUGUGGUGACUGUUGAUUCUUCGAAAGUAUCGUCUUCUUUCCUAGCCAUCUCUGAUAGUUUAGAGUCUUCCUUCUGUCUUCUGCAAAAGCAAAUGAAACCCACCAAUUUUUUCCAGUAAAGCCACAAACUUUACCUGGAAAACUGCCUCUUUCUUUUUUUUUUUUUUUUUUUUUUUUUUUUUUUUUUUUUUGUAAAANNNNNNNNNNNNNNNNNNNNNNNNNNNNNNNNNNNNNNNNNNNNNNNNNNNNNNNNNNNNNNNNNNNNNNNNNNNNNNNNNNNNNNNNNNNNNNNNNNNNNNNNNNNNNNNNNNNNNNNNNNNNNNNNNNNNNNNNNNNNNNNNNNNNNNNNNNNNNNNNNUUUUUUGUUUUUUUUUUUUUUCCGUCGGAAAAAUCCUUAAUGGGAAAUUGUGGCUUGUUCGAUCUAGAGAAGCACUUUGCAUUCUACGGCGCGUAUCAUAGUAACUCGAUAAACAUAGCGAUUCAUAUGAUAUUUGUUUGGCCAAUCUUUUUCACCACUCUUCUCAUACUUUACUUUACUCCUUCUCUGAUUAAUCUGGACUUCUCUCUGUUUGGUAACGAGUUUAUUCUGCUUUUCAAUUUUGGAUUCUUGUUUGCUUUGAUCUAUGCUCUGUUUUAUAUAUGUCUGGAUGCGAAAGCUGGUUCCUUGGCUGCUUUGCUUUGCUGUUUAUGUUGGGUGACUAGUAGUUUUUUGGCUGCUUGGCUCGGGUUUUCUCUUGCUUGGAAGGUAAAAAUUUUGUCUUUAUAUUAUUUUUUUAUUAUGGAUUUAAUGUGGGUAUCCUUUUUUUUUCUCUUUUUAAUCUAAAUUUAUUUUACAUUGGACUGUUCACCAUUUCUGAAUUUGUUCAUGUAGAAAUUAUAUAAGCUUUUAGGAGAAUUAUGUUUGGGUUUUUGAAUCAUCAUAUUUGAUUGGUGCUAAUGAUAGAUUACAAGUUUUUGGAAAUAGAAAAUUGGAUCAAUGGUUGACCAUAACUUUCGAUUCACAGGCCUUUAGCUCAUAUAUAAUUUUAUAUUUCUUUUAAAUAAGGCUUCACUAUAAUGGCCAUAACUAUAUGUUUAUUGUUCCUUCCAUUUUUCUGUUCGACUGGAAUACGCCGUUGAAUUUUUCAAAAACAAAAGUGGUAACUUUAUUUGCUUGUGCCUUCAUGAUGCAAUUUUUCAGUUUUCACUAUUUUUAUCCAAUGGAAUUUUUCUUUAAUUUUGUUUCAUUUUUUCUCUUGAACCAUGACCAUUUGUUGUCAUUUUAAUAUUAUUACAAUUUUAUUUUUCAUUUUGUCAAAAUGUAUUUUUAAUAGAAUGAUUUGAUUUUGAUUCUAGCUUGUACUUCGAAAUAUGAAUGCACUAGUUAGAUUUGAGGUUAGAAGUCGAACAUUUGGUGGUUCCUUACUGGUUAUGUUUUGCUGUCUCUGAAUUUGCCCUUGUCUGUCCAAGAUGAUUAUUUGUUAUUCUGAUGUGGUUUUCAUGAUGUUUGGUGGCUAAAGGUAUCUCAUUAAAUAGCUAUCUAUAUACUUCCUAUUUUGGCUUGUUUUUGUUACUUCCUCCAUCAACCAAUCUUACUUUGCUCCUUUAGUUUCAGGGUGGUUCUGUCUGGAACCAUGUUCCUUCAUUUUCACCUUUCAUCUUGGUUUUUAUGCGUGCAAUAAUUUAAGCUGUGUUUUAAACUAAGUUGUAACUUAGUUUAAAACAUAAGCUAGGGAGAUAAUGACAUUUAGAGUUGUGUUUGUCAAGAUAAGUUUGGCCUUGCAAAAUGCAGUUAUGGUCAUACUUGAUUUUUUUCAGUAAGUGAAGGUAGAUUUAGUCAUUGUGAAGCAUCUUGUUGCUUCUAGAACUUUUGUUGAGGUUUCCAUAUGGAAUAUAAACCUCUACCAAAAAUUUAAACUCAAUGAGAUGCUUCACUAUGAUUGCAUCUACUUUCAUUUACUAAAAAAUCAAGAAUGGAAAUAAAAAGAUUCAUAUGGCCCCCAAGUAGUUUGUGAUUAAGGCUUAGUUGUUAUUGUUUAUAUGAAAUAUAGUUUGCAUGCUUUAGUAGCAGAUCUUUAUGUGGUAGAAUGGUUAGUGGUUAAAUCCUAUUUUCUUUCUUUAUUUGGCUAUCUGAAAGUCAAUAAAAAGCAAAUUAAUAUGUUAUGAACAGCUGCAGGACCAGAAGUAACACUGGUUCCCUGAAUUUCUGUUGGGUAUAUAAUUAUUUCAGUUCUUCCUUUUUGAAAGAUCUUAAUUCAUAGCUAAUCCUUUGAUCAGCUGUGCAUUACGAAAAUUAAAUUAGAUCUAUUCACAAUGAACAUACAUUAUAUUGUGGAAUGCAUAUCAUAUUCCAUAUUUGGAUCACUGUUUUCCUUUGCAAUAUUACCAAUGCUUUGAGAAUUUUUGACUUUGGAGUUGAUAAGAAGGUUUUAGAAUUAUUGCAGUAAAGUUAACUGUCAUGUAAUCUAAAAUAAAUUAUUGUUCUUUCUAUGCCAUAGGGGAUAUUGAGAUUGAGAUAGAAUUGAUACCAUGGCUUAAUGAGGCUAACAUAUUUUUAGCAAAUAAAUGAGAUAGACAUGAUGAAAGUAGUUAAUCUGGAGUAAACCAAUUUUUAGAUAUUGACACUCUAGAAGGAUAAUGUAAACUGAUAUGGAGAUUCACUUGCUUUGUCAGAUUGGCAUAAAAAAUCUUAAAUCAACAAAAUUAUUGCUUAUCUUGGAUUGCGUGAAAGCAUGUAUAUUGACUAUUGGAUCAUUUCCUUCUAAGAACAUCUCUACACUGUAAAUUGAUCACGUUGUUGGGGAGUGUAUGUGUGUAUUACAUUGAUUUGUGUGUCAGGUAAUUUCAUCACGUGAGAGGGCAACCAGUCUCAUGUGUUCCGCUUUCACCUUUUGUUACUCAAAAGCAUGACCCUGAGACAGGGAACAUUUUUGUUUCAUUUGGUUUUAUCUGUACCUAACAUUUUGUAGGCAUUUGGUAUGGCUUAAACAUCACCAUGAGACGGGAGUAACAUUUUAGUUCGUUUGAUUUUAUUUGUGCCUAACUUUAUGUAGGUUUUUGUGGUGGCUCAAAUUGUUUGUUGGACUGGACAGUUCAUUGGCCAUGGGGUAUUUGAGGUAAUUUGUUCUGUGAUUUGUAAAUAUAGUUUAACAACUUUGCAUUCUAUCUCUUUUUGUGUAAUGUCAUCAAAUAUCCUGCAGAAACGAGCGCCAGCUCUUUUGGACAACCUUCUUCAAGCUCUGAUAAUGGCUCCCUUUUUUGUACUGCUGGAGGUAAUUUUGUAAGCUUCAUGAUAUUAUAACACUCUUGAUCUGAAAAGUUUAUCUUUUUCUUUCCUUCAGGGUCUUCAAACCUUCUUUGGUUAUGAACCAUAUCCAGGUUUUCAUGCAAAUGUUCAAGCGAAGGUUGAGACUGAAAUCAAUGGGUGGAAAGAGAAGAAGCAGAAUUUAAUUGUGUAAUUUGAACUGUUGUAUGUCCACAAUUAACGUUAUUGAUCAGUAUAGUUCCUGUUGCUGUAAAAAAUUUGUUAUGUAACGAUAGUAACUAUAGAAAAUGCACUUAAGAACCAUAAAUAUGAAAUACAAGGAUACAACUGUUGUUGCUCCAGGAAACUCUCAAGUUCUCUCAAUCUGAUUGGUCUACGUGCAAUUUACCAUUAGUGAUCAUGAAAAUUUAAUGUGAUUGUUUCUGGAACUGUUAUCACUAGCAAAUGCAGUUCCAAUUCGAUGUCAGGGUCCUGUAGAACAUACAAGGAAAAAAAGUGACGCAAUAUUUGUAAGAUCUUUUUCAUCUUGGAACAAUUUAUUGCUCACUGUUUCAACAACUUGAUUUUUGAUUAUAUUAGAAUGAAUUAACAAGAACAUCAUUUUCUCUAGUUGUAUCUUAUGAGCGCCUGGACACUCUAAGCUUCAAGCCAUGUGCCAUCGAUAGAGUUGUCAUCAUCCUGUAUUUCACGGGAUGAUUUGGGACCAAAUGGAACUUGAAAAAUCUGCAGAGUAUAGCCAGUGUCAUUUUCAUCUGCAGAUAUGCAGAGUCUUUACCGAGGCAUAUCCUUGGUCCAGCCUUCACAUAACAUUGACGGAAUGGAAAUGUAAGGUUAGUCCCAUUUAUUUUCAAGAAGCAAUAGAAUUAAAGCUUGUAAGUUUCUCUUGCAAAACUUACUUGAAAUGCAGUGAACUUGAAUGGAGAUGCAUUCUGGAAGAUACCAUCUUUGAGCCAUCUCUCAGGCUUGAAUGAAGCCGCAUCAGGUCCCCAGUUAUACUCCAUCCUACCCAUUGAGUAAGGUACGUAAGUUACCAUUCCUCCAGCUUUUACUCUGGUUCCAUCAGGCAAGAUAUCAUCUUCCAUAAUGCCUUUGGGAUCCUACAAUCAUUCAAUAUCAGCUCAAUGUUUGUUUAUCGUUGACAUGAUUAUUUCACGUUGCAUACUUCUUGUCCCAAAAACUUUCAGUUUUGGACAUAUCUCAGUCUGACACACAUGCAUGUCAUGUGCUAAUUUUUAAGAAUAGACAUAGUCAUAUGCUACCCUUUUUUCAUAGAUAACAUGCUAUGAGUCUUGAAGCUUAGGGUGCCUUGUGGUGGUGUUGGUUGCCCCCCCUCUCCAUGGGAAAUUAUUAUUCAAUAUACUCAGGGCACUAAAAUAUAUGAACAAUACAAAUAUAUCCAAUCCACUUGAAGUUGUGAAAAGUGAAUCCCACAUUAUGAUUGAUGUGUACCGAAUAAUUUCUCAUUCACUAAUUACUAACUCUCCCCUCUUACAGUACUUAACCCAUACUACAAAUGGGGGAGAAAUAAGCAUACCUGAGGGACUGCUGGGUACAAACGGAGUGUCUCGGUUACAACUGCGUGCAAAUAAUAUAGUUUGCCUAAUGAAUCAUAUGUCAAGAGUCCUGCAUAUUGCAUUAUUCUUUGAGUGAAAGAUUCAAGAUCAUCCAAGUCAAACUGAAGCAGCAUAACAUUCUCUUCCUUUGCCCUCUCUUCCUCAAAAGUUUUCAACUCCAUGUAGAGCUUCUCAGCUAUAUCGUUAUGUGUCAUUAUCAUGUAAAUGGCCCAAGAAAGAGUUGUUGCUGUUGUAUCUCGGCCAGCUAUCACGAAGUUGAGGACAACAUCUCUCAGACUUUUAUCUGUGAAGUUGUUUUCUGGAUCUUCCCCCAACUCAAUGAACCUUGAUAAUAUAUCAUGUUUGCCCUGAGUAUAUAUACAAAAUUUAUUUUGAUUAGUAAAAAUCUUGCUUCUUGUGUUUGCUUUUUAUCAUUCUAGCGCAAGAAAGCUUACCUUCUCAUGACCGAUCUUUCGAGCUGCUUCUAUUUCUGCUUUCCUUUUAUAAAUGACGGAGUAAGUGAAAUCAUCAAUGAUUUUGAUACUCUUAUCAAGUAAAGCUUCUGAUCCCACAUUGAGGAAUUUCUUUAUUUUCCACAAUGGAUCAAUGAAACGAAGAGUAACAAUGAUGUUUGCAGCAUCAAAAGCCUGAGCAAAGCAAUUAUCCGGUAGAUUGGGAGCCAAUGCUCCUAUUUCCACUCCAAAUCCCACUUUGCAUAUAGAGUCCAAUGUCAUCCUCAUUAACAAUUCCUAUAAAACACAUGUUUAAUACAUUUAUAGGGCUUAUGGAAGGAUGAACGCGAAAAAUUUACAAGAUUUUUCCUUCUCUCUCUCUUCCUUUUUUUUUUUUUUUUUUUUUGGAGCAUCAGGAGAGUGGGAUUGGAACUUGGGUCUAAGCUCAAGUCGUAUAUGUAUUUACCGCCAAGCUACACCUGCAAAAUUUACAAUAUUUUUCCUUCUCUCUCUCUUCCUUUUUUUUUUUUUUUUUUUUUUUUGGAGCAUCAGGAGAGUGGGAUUGGAACUUGGGUCUAAGCCCAAGUCGUAUAUGUAUUUACCACCAAGCUACACCUGCAAAAUUUACAAUAUUUUUCACAUCUCACCUGCAUGUCUAUUUCUUGGUUUUGAAAAGAUGCAUUACUGAGAAUAGAUGAGAGCUUCAAGCUGUAUUCCCUAAAGACUAUGGUGCUGAAAUCUCUUAAAUUCUUGGAUGCAAACUCAAAACUUGCAGUCUUCCUUUGUCUCCUCCAUAGUUCACCAUCAGCAUUAAAUAUCCCAUCUCCAAGCAGCACUUCCAUAUAUGAAUGAUAAGUCUCACCCUUUAAUUGAUAUUAAUUUCCAAUAUUACCAAAGAAUAAGUUUAGCACAAAAAGAGACUUCAUAUAUAUACAUAUAUGUGUGUGUGUGAAAAUAUUGAACAGAUAAAUACACGUUUGAGUGCUGAGAAUUAUUACCUUUGGAUAAUUGGAAAAGUUGGUCUUAAGGACAUGUUCAACACUAGCAGGAUCUGCAAUGUAAGUAUAUGUUGUGAAUGGCAUUGGAACUACUACAGUUCUCAGCUCAGACAGGUAGGCAACAAGCCAAUCAUGCAUUCUAUCAUAGUUCAUAAACUGCUCAAUUGCUGCCCCUAUUAUUGGCCAUGUUCUUGGUCCUUUUUUGUUUCUCUUUCUCCAUUGAUGGAGAAAAAUGCAUGACAAGGCCAAGCAAGCUAUCAUCGAUAUUCCCAUUUCUUUCUCCAUUAGUUAUAAAUCCUAAAUGACAAAAUUAUGUAAUCCUGUUGAUAGAAAAUAUCUGAAUGUAAUUGUUGCUUAUAAUGUGAAUGGAAAUGGUAAAGAGAGAGUUGGUUGAAAAACAGGUUAGUGUGAAGUAUAGAAUGAUAAUUUCUUUUUUCUUUUCUUUUUAUCACAGGCUUUGUAUGUUCUAGGAUACUUGAAAAUGGGAUUUUCUUGUUUCUUGUUUCUGUUUCUUUUAUUUUUAUCACAGUCUUUACAUGUUCUGAGAUACUUAGAUUAAAUUGCUUCACCUCCUUUUAGUCCUUGACCUAAUGACUCAUUCAAACAAGCAACUAACAGAUAAAACUUAUUCAAAUGGGAUUCCAUUUUCUUGAUGCUAAUGUGGAAUUAGAAUCUUCAAUCUUGCAUCUGACUAAGCCAUUAAGAUUUGUCGCUUUGGAUAUAAAUCACUAUCGAAGCUUUUAAAUAAUAAGAAAAAGAUUAAUCUCAUGCAUGCACCAGACUCCUAUUUGCUUCGCCCAAAUCGCUUUUCCACACUAUUUUUUGACCAGCGUCCAAAUCAUUCAAUUAUUUAUUUUUAGAUAAGUAACACAAUAGCAUUUGCUAAUUACUGGUCUAAGGCUGCAGAGAAUCGUACAAGAUCAUUCCAACCGCGCAAAUCUCAGGUUCAAAUCUCACCGUAAUUACUUGAUUCCACAUUGGAUUUGUAGAGAUUAAAAUUAAUACAAAGAAUCUCCAUUCAAUCAAAAGUAAAAACAGCUUUAAUAGUGAAUGUAAUGAUAUGUACAAAUUCAAGCUUGUCCUAUGUUUUUAACUUUUUAAAGUUGAAUAUUGAGUGUACAAUAUUGGCCUUGCCUAUCUAAUUCACAAUUUUUGUCUAUUGUAACAUUGUGUACCCUUUCACAAACAAUUUUUAGAUGUUCUGAACAACUGUCAUUCCCCAGUAAAUCCAAAUUUCCUUUUGAGUCAAAGCCAGGCAAAUCACUGAAAUUCAUAGACCAUUGGAUUCAUUAACAAUGGCUGGUUCAAAACGCUACUCUGAUUAGCCUGGAAUUUCCCAGAAUCUGUAUAUUGGGAAUUCAUUUCUCCUAGCUGAAAUUUUGCCCCUUGGUCAGUCAAAGCAUUACUAUUGCCAAUGAAGUUUUGGAACUCAAAAUUCGAAUUGUAUGAACCGUUGUCAUUCAAAAGGUGAGAAAUUGAUCCCAUAUACUCAAAUUCCAAUAAAUGGGUUAGAGAACAUGUCCUUGGAAAUUUGAAUAGUUGUUGCUCACUAGCAUCACUGGUAUCAGGUAAGUCCGUUUGGGUACUUGUAUUUUCUAUUUUCUCCUCCAAAUGUCUUCCUACAUGCCUUUUCUUAUAAAUCCUACACAGGACCCAAUCAUCCAACUGAAAGCACCAAAACAAGAAAAAACAAAAUCAUAGUCAAUACAAAAUCCUUAGAUUAGAAGGUAAUAACAAACCAAUUCAAUAAUGUCAGAAGGGCUUACUCUCAUGGACCCAUUAUGCUUGUUGGCUUGCUUUCUUGAAUCAUUUAAACGAUAUUCAUGCAUAAUCCAAUCAGUUUUAACACCCUUAGGUGGCCUUCCCUUGUAAAAUACAAGAGCUUUCUUCACACCAACAUAUUUAGACCCACUAUAGAUGGCCUUAUCUGUACCAGUAGCUUUCCAAUACCCAGAAACAGUUGCUCUGUUAGGCCUCACUCCAUUUGGAUACUUCCUAUCACGAGGGCUAAAAAAAUACCAUUCGUUUUCACCAAAUUCUGCUUUCUCUGCAUCACAAAUCAAUAUUAUAAAUCCCAAGAAUAAAUCCAUAAAAGUUUUAAAAAGGAAAUUCAGGAACUGGGGUUUUGGGUAUUAUAUACCAUAAUUUAGAAAUUAAUUAGUAGUUACCAGGUAAUUGCCAAGGGUCGAACUUGUAAAUAUCAACUUCUGGUAUAAUUGCUACAGGGCAAGGCUUUGAUGAGGCUUGAUUACGAAGAUAAUACACGACUAAUUCCUCAUCAGUUGGGUGGAACCUAAAACCAGGAGGAAGGUUAGAGCUAUUUUUGCCUAGCAUUUCUACUGCUCAAACAAAGACAAAAUACAAGAAAAUAAUAUAAUAACAGGAAAAAAAUAUGGGUUGUCUUCUAAUUAUUAUUUAAGUUAAUGGGUUGUGUCUUGUUUGCGGUGGGGGUGGAGGGAGGAGGAGGGGCCACCCAUGAGAAGUAGGCAGAGGAAGAUGAGGGUUUUUGAAAUGUUUGCAAGGAGAGGGCUAUGGCUUUUAUUUGUGAGGGUUUUUUGU